AAGAAAUAAGGAGAAAAGAGCAUGAGUUGACUAAUACCUUCUUGAUUCUAUCUAUCAUUGUCUAACAUUUUGUGGCUAACAGCUUUUAGAAGUAAAAGAUGGGGAAAAAAAUUAUUCUACAAGAUAACAAAUCACAUGUUAAUUUAAUGAGAUAUUCUUCUUUAUAUAGAAUUAUUCCCCUCAUUCUACAUACUUUAUUGCCAUUUGAAUGCUUUGAAUUUUAAAGGACUGAAUUAAACUUUUAAUUUUUUCCCUCUUUAAAUACAUUUGAAACAUUAAGAAAUUAUCUUGCAGUUCUCUUUCCAGUGAAUUCAUUGUGUUUGAGCUGCUCAAGUGCUUUUUUCAGCUGCUGAGACUGCAAUAUCGGAUUUGAUCUUGUCAUUCCAGCACCCUAUAUCAGAUAUUCCAUAUGAUGAGAAAACCNAUAUCAAUUGACAAAAAUUAAAGAAUUGGAGCAACAAUAUGCCAAUAACAAUUUGGUCUAUCCACAGUUACAUUGGUAUUCCUCCUAAGCACAUUAAAUAGAAAUACUAAUCUUCAACUUGUUCUCCCGUAUUUACUCAUUGUCAAUAUUAAUUAAUGCAGGAGCUUCUUCCAUUAGUUUGGAGGAAGCAAGCCAGCUCUUCCCUGGCUUUGAAGGAAUUGCUUAGUUUCUGCUGCUUAAUAAUAAGGCCCUCUUUCAGAAAAUUCAGUAAAUUAUUCUAUUCGUAUGACAAAGAUAAAAAAAAGCCACGGAGCGCUGUAGGAAAAAUUACGAUUAAUAUUUUUAUGACGUUGAUCCUUAAGUCCAAGAAUGAUGAAAUGGUUCUUACUUUAAUUUUUGCAUGAUGGUGGUUGUGGUGUGUUGAAGGUUCUACUGACGACACAACUUCUUUACAUUUGCUCCAAGUGCCUUGGCCCUCUUCUUAUGGUUUACAUUCUCCACAUGAGAAAUUCCAGAAAAAUAACAGUAAUUUCUAUACAUUAUCAACCUUCUGAGGUGUAACAGAUAAAAAGUCACAAGCUAUCCAACCCUUGUCAUAUCAUUUUGAGUUGUUAGCAAGUGAUUAGCAGCAGUGAGCUGCACGCGCAAUGACAUGGCAUUGAAUUAGUUUGAGUUGUCCUGUUUCCUCGACGUGGUACUUAAACUGAUAUAUUUUAAGAUGCAUAAAUUCUCUUAUACUAACACUUGCCAUAUAUAAAAAUCCAGUAUGACAUAAACAGGUAGCUAAGAGGGCGACACUUGCUGCCAAUAACGUCAAAUUUAUCUCCUAACAUCAAAAUUAAAAUGUAGAAUCCAUAUUACAUAAUAGGCAAAAUAAGUCUCUCUAACAGUUGAAAGGCGUCACCAACAACAAUAAAGCAUUUUCCCUAAAUGAUUCAUAAAAUAACUAACACAAAAAGCAGACGAAAAUAAUACGUUAAGUAUAAAUGAUGAACCAAUAGAAGUUCCAAGAAUGUCUGUUAUAGGCCCUUGUUUUGCCCUCGGCCACAUCUCUAUCACAAAGGUAUAAAUAAUCAAAAUAUGAGAGGGAAUAAGGAAUUAAUUAACAUGAUAAAAGAGAAUAAGUUAAGUGUUUCACCAAAGUAGUUAAACACAUACAAAAAGCACUUGAAAUCAGAAAGCUUNNN
rnacentral:lncRNA from 1 species